CCCUCCCUCUGGCUUCAUGCCUAACACAUGCAAGUCGAACGAUGCCUUCGGGCAUAGUGGCGCACGGGUGCGUAACGCGUGGGAAUCUGCCUUUCGGUUCGGAAUAACUCAGGGAAACUUGAGCUAAUACCGGAUAACGUCGCAAGACCAAAGAUUUAUCACCGAAAGAUGAGCCCGCGUAGGAUUAGCUAGUUGGUGAGGUAAAGGCUCACCAAGGCGACGAUCCUUAGCUGGUCUGAGAGGAUGAUCAGCCACACUGGGACUGAGACACGGCCCAGACUCCUACGGGAGGCAGCAGUGGGGAAUAUUGGACAAUGGGCGAAAGCCUGAUCCAGCAAUGCCGCGUGAGUGAUGAAGGCCUUAGGGUUGUAAAGCUCUUUUACCCGGGAAGAUAAUGACGGUACCGGGAGAAUAAGCCCCGGCUAACUCCGUG
rnacentral:rRNA from 1 species